rnacentral:rRNA from 1 species
UAGGGAAUCUUCCGCAAUGGACGCAAGUCUGACGGAGCAACGCCGCGUGAGUGAAGAAGGAUUUCGGUUCGUAAAACUCUGUUGUUAGAGAAGAACAGCGCAUAGAGUAACUGUUAUGCGUGUGACGGUAUCUAACCAGAAAGCCACGGCUAACUACGUGCCAGCAGCCGCGGUAAUACGUAGGUGGCAAGCGUUGUCCGGAUUUAUUGGGCGUAAAGCGAGCGCAGGCGGUCAAUUAAGUCUGAUGUGAAAGCCCCCGGCUCAACCGGGGAGGGUCAUUGGAAACUGGUUGACUUGAGUGCAGAAGAGGAGAGUGGAAUUCCAUGUGUAGCGGUGAAAUGCGUAGAUAUAUGGCGGAACACCAGUGGCGAAGGCGACUCUCUGGUCUGUAACUGACGCUGAGGCUCGAAAGCGUGGGUAGCAAACAGG